GCCGGGCGUUGUGGCGGGCGCCUGUGGGCCCAGCUACUUGGGAGGCGGAGGCAGGAGACUCUCUUGAGCCCAGGAGUUGGAGGUUGCUGUGAGCUGUAAUGCCACGGCACUCUGCCCAGGGGGACAGCUUGAGGCUCUGUCUCAAAAAAAUAAAAAAAUAAAAAAAUAAAAUAAAAGACACAGUCUCAGUUAUUUGCUCUUGGUAGAGUGCCAUGGCAUCACAGCUCACAGCGGCCUCCAGCUCUUGGGCUUAGGCGAUUCUCUUGC
rnacentral:sRNA from 1 species